ensembl:lncRNA
CUGGUGGGUUUCUCUGAAAUCCUGCUGUGACUACGCCAAGAACUGUCGAUGAAAAUAAUCCAUAACCAAUCUGUAAAUGAAAAUUUGGGUGAGUUUAUUCUGAGCUGAAAUCUGAGGACCAUGGCCCAGGGCCUUUCUUCCCGAAGGAAGAAAGGAUACCAAAGAAAUGAGGUGUACAGAAUAGUUAUAUACCCCCAAAGGGGGUGCUUUACAUAUGAUUGAAAUGUCCCUCCCACAAUAGUCACAAGAUUGCCCUGUCUGCACAGCGCUUGAUGGACACAGCAGGUAGUGGGUCUGCUAUCUUGGUGGGUGUAGCAGGAGGCAAGUCUAUUGUCUCGAGCUGGGUGGUCACAGGUGAGCGCAGCAAUCAGUUUCUAGCCUAAGGAAAGAUGCUUAAUCCUUAAGGAGACGCCAACGUUGGGAGGGGGAGGGAAGUUGCACCUUUAUCUCAAAGGCCUUUUGCUCUUGCCAUAGGGAAUCUCUAAAGCAGAUAUACAAUGCAUGCUCAAC